AGUCCACAUCGACGGGGAGGUUUGGCACCUCGAUGUCGGCUCAUCACAUCCUGGGGCUGUAGUAGGUCCCAAGGGUUGGGCUGUUCGCCCAUUAAAGUGGUACGCGAGCUGGGUUCAGAACGUCGUGAGACAGUUCGGUCCCUAUCCGUCGCAGGCGUAGGAAAUUUGAGAAGACCUGUCCUUAGUACGAGAGGACCGGGAUGGACGUACCUCUGGUGUACCAGUUGUCCUGCCAAGGGCAUGGCUGGGUAGCUAUGUACGGAAUGGAUAAGCGCUGAAAGCAUCUAAGCGCGAAGCCAACUUCAAGAUAAGAUUUCCCACCGCAAGGGUAAGACCCCAGAAAGACUAUCUGGUUG
rnacentral:rRNA from 1 species